UGUGGCUAUAAACAGGUGUCCAUCCAAGUCUUGGCAUAUUUCUUGAAAAUAUUUGCGCAUCCGAGUUUUAAGUUGAUAUCAAAUCAACAAUUUUUUUAGGGAGGCAGUGUUGAGGAGAACGAGUCCAUUCCAUCAUAGUCUGGAAUGGCUUCGUUCGCGCUGGGGUUGACUUCAUUGUUGUAACUCAUUCGCGAGGUGACCUCUCGGUACAGGUCGCACGAGUAUUUCGAGCAUUUCGGGGAUCCUUCGGCUUGAUGGCUGGCAUCGACGAAGGCGCGCAUUCCACGACGCCACUUUUUAGAUAAGUAGCCCUCCGUUUUCUCGAAUACGCUAAGAAAUUAGAAUUAAUUGAGGUCAAUGUUUCACUCUUUCAGAUAACAGGAUAUCCAGUAAACUUACCCUGUGAUCAAUUUCUCCACAAAGGUCCCAUGACUUCGCUUAUUGAUCUCGCAACUUAUCCUCUCUAUGCAUUGUCCACUGGUGAGAACGUCUUGCGCCACUUGGACCGUAUUGUAAACUUUCUCUUGUACGAAUGCACCCAAUCCGACGGGUUCAAGUGUUCUUCCACCAGCAGUUGCUAGAAUUUGACAUUUUACACAUAAAUAUAUUAGAUAAGCAUAUGAUAUGCGUUAGAUUUUGACACAAAAAUCAACUCACGAAUGGUGAUGACGGGCUAAAAAAUGUAGCAAAAAAAAUAUUAUUAGAGAAAGUUAUCGUAUGUAGUGUGGAAAUUCUUAUUAUUUGGAUUUAUCUACUUACAAUUGGGAUGAACAACAAGAGAAGAGGCAACAACAGCAAAACUGCAAAUAUACAUUUUUCAUCGUAUUACAAUUUAAGUCCUAAAUAUUUUAUCACGCCAUGUAAAAAGUAGUACACAUACGUGGGAGCAACAGUGGCAACAAUAAAGGCUUGAACAGCUUGAACAACGCC